AGGUAUAAUCUGCCCGGUGAAGAUUUUAACGGCCGCAGUAUUUUAACUGUGCGAAGGUAGCAUAAUAAGUUGUCCUUUAAUUGGGGGCUGGUAUGAAUGAUUGGACGAAAAUUGAGCUGUCUCGGUGAUUUAACAUGAAUUUAAAGGUUAAAUUAAAAUGUUUAAAUGUUGUCAAAAGACGAGAAGACCCUAUAGAUCUUUAUACUUGUAUACGUUUGUUAGGUAAGCAAUUGUGAUGCAGGUAUUUUGUUGGGGUGACAAGGAAUAAAAAGUAAAGAGGUAUGAAUGAACAUUCCUAUGUUUAACGGUGAUGAUUAUCAUGAUAAUUGUGUAUGAUCCGCGUGUAGCGAUGGUAGAAUAAGAUACCUUAGGGAUAACAGCGUAAUCUUUCUAGAGAGCUCUUAUCGACAGAAUUAGGGUUGCGACCUCGAUGUUGGAUUAAGGUGACUAUUUGGUGUAGCAGUUAAGUAGUUAGGUCUGUUCGACCU
rnacentral:rRNA from 1 species